CUGUAGAACAAUUCAAUUAUGACAGAAAUUGGUUAAAUUACGUUAGCUAAUGGACAUAAUACAUAAAUAAAAAUUGUCUGCGCGCGUACCUUCAGCAUAAUCUUUAGCUCCAAAUACAGCUGAUCCCGCAACUAUAGCAUUAGCUCCAGCCUCAAUAACCUUAUAUGCAUUCUUGGGACCAACUCCGCCAUCUACUUCAAUCCAUGGAUUUACUCCCUUCUCUGCACAUAUUCUUCUCAAAUCUGAGAUUUUCUUUACUUGACUCUCAAUAAAGCUUUGCCCACCAAAACCAGGGUUUACAGACAUAAUCAAUACUAGAUCAACCACUGUAAACAUGACCCAAAAAAUCAUUUUGUCAAAAUUUAUUUUGCCUGAUCAUCUCAGCAUUAAACAUGAGGAAUUGUAUGGAUUUCUGGGUUCUAUUUGAACCAACUUCACGGUUUUAGUAAGAAAUGGGUUCCAUUUAAGAAAGUUGUGACAUACAAAUAGCCCCAACCAAGCAAAAUAAAGGACAAGAAUUUAUAUAGCCAAUCCCAACGAUAAUGGAAUGGAGGCAAAGUCAAAUUAUGAAAUAAGUACAUGAAAUUGAUUCCUUUGUUAACCUCUUUUUUUUAAUUAAUUUCAACCAUCAUCUCACCCAUGUAAACCCACAUAUUUUAAAUAAAACAUCCUUUCCCUUUCUCAUUCUAGCAAAAGAAGCUUUCUUCAACUAAAUUGGCACCCAUUGCACUACCGAGGUGGUAGAUACCCAUUUACUAUGGAAGUCACAACAGCCACAUUACAGAUAAAAAAUACUGCACAUGCAUGUGCACAGAGAGAGAAAGAGAUCCGCCUCCUUUAACAAUAAAAAUUAUACCAUACUUCUCCAAAAACUUCUAAUUGUUUGUACUUGUCCUCCUAUUCAUGUUGUAUUUCAUAUUUUCUUUUUGCUCAACCACAUGCAUCCAUAAUUAACUUCCAGUUCAGCAACCACUACAUGCUAAUAGGC
rnacentral:misc_RNA from 1 species